CAAAAACAUAGAAAUAAAGAAGAUGAGUGUAGAGUAGAAUCUUCAGAAAAAGUUAGGGUUUAUACCUCAAAAAAAAACUCAAAAACAGGCUGGUUUAACUCAAAGCCCUUCAAAAGGCUCAGGAUUUGAGUUAUUGUGUGUGACUAGACUCUAUUGAAUCUUCCUCUUGUACUUGGUAAAAAAGGAUCGAACACUUCAUGAAAUACACUAUAAAGUACUCAUCAGAGCUAGAGAGAGAGAGAGAAAAAAAACCCUAAAAGGAGAUUUUAUGUAAAUGGACAAGAUUUGACAGUUAUCAUCGGGAAUAGCCACCGGAAAGAGAUCGGAUCCCAAGAGUCAGAGAUCUAAAGACAGGGGGAGAGAGAGGAUGGACAAAGAGAAAGAGAGUAGGGUUAAAUAAAGAGAGAUCAAAGGGUGAUGAUGAUAAAUAAGAAUAAGAAAGAGAGGGAGAGAGAGAAUGAAGAAGAGGAAGAAGACACAUGAAAAAGUAGACAACCGUGUCCUAAUAAUCUAUACUACUUUGUCUCUCUCUCUCUCUGUGUCCUUCUCAAUCAUAGUCUCUAUGUCCUUUAAUAUAACACAAGAAGUGAGAGAUAGAGAGACUUUAUUUGUUGCAAAAGCUUCGGGGGAGAAAG
rnacentral:lncRNA from 1 species